CGAAAGCCUGACGGAGCAAUACCGCGUGAGGGAGGAAGGUUUUUGGAUUGUAAACCUCUUUUUUAAAGGAAGAAGAAAGUGACGGUACUUUAAGAAUAAGCAUCGGCUAACUCCGUGCCAGCAGCCGCGGCAAUACGGAGGAUGCAAGCGUUAUCCGGAAUCAUUGGGCGUAAAGCGUCCGCAGGUGGGAGUUCAAGUCGAUUGUCAAAGGCAGUAGCUUAACUACUGAAAGGCAGUGGAAACUGAACAACUAGAGUGCGGUAGGGGUAGAGGGAAUUCCCAGUGUAGCGGUGAAAUGCGUAGAUAUUGGGAAGAACACCAGUGGCGAAGGCGCUCAACUGGGCCGUAACUGACACUCAGGGACGAAAGCUAGGGCUAGCG
rnacentral:rRNA from 1 species